AUACGUAGGGAGCGAGCGUUGUCCGGAAUUACUGGGUGUAAAAAGCUAUGGCUUAACCAUAGUAAGCACUUGAAACUGUAUGACUUGAGUGCAGGAGAGGUAAGCGGAAUUCCUAGUGUAGCGGUGAAAUGCGUAGAUAUUAGGAGGAACACCGGUGGCGAAGGCGGCUUACUGGACUGUAACUGACGCUGAGUCACGAAAGCGUGGGUAGCAAACAGGAUUAGAUACCCUGGUAGUCCACGCCGUAAACGAUGAGUGCUAGGUGUUGGGCAGCAAUGCUCAGUGCCGAAGUAAACACAAUAAGCACUCCGCCUGGGGAGUACGUACGCAAGUAUGAAACUCAAAGGAAUUGACGGGG
rnacentral:rRNA from 1 species